rnacentral:rRNA from 1 species
UUAAAAUACUUUUUUUUAGGAGUGAAUACAUGAGUAUGUAUUUUUUAUCAUUUGUUAUAUCCUACAAAAUUAUUAAAUACUUUUAAUGGGAACCAUAAUUUU